rnacentral:rRNA from 1 species
UACGGAGGGUGCGAGCGUUGUUCGGAAUCACUGGGCGUAAAGAGCGUGUAGGCGGCCAGGUAGGUCUGCUGUGAAAACUCGAGGCUCAACCUCGAGACGUCGGCGGAAACCAUCUGGCUAGAGUCCGGAAGAGGAGAGUGGAAUUCCUGGUGUAGCGGUGAAACGCGCAGAUAUCAGGAAGAACACCCGUGGCGAAGGCGGCUCUCUGGGACGGUACUGACGCUGAGACGCGAAAGCGUGGGGAGCGAACAGG